AGUCAAGAGUCUUUGGCGCCGUUUCGGUGAGCGUUCUUCUUUUGCCUUUUUGAGAGGCGAAGAC
rnacentral:sRNA from 1 species